rnacentral:sRNA from 1 species
UUAUUGGCGGGUGUCGGCGCAGUUCCUC